GCCAGGUGCAGUGGUGCAUGCCUGUAAUCCUAGAAGCUUGGGAGGCUGAGGCAGGAGAAUCCUGAGUUCAAAGCCAGCCUCCAGCAAUGAGGAGACACUAAGCAAUUCAGUGAGACCCUGUCUCUA
rnacentral:sRNA from 1 species